UGCCAGCCGCCGCGGUAAUACGAAGGGUGCAAGCGUUGUUCGGAAUUACUGGGCGUAAAGCGCGCGCAGGCGGUUUGAUAAGUUGGGAGUGAAAUCCCGGGGCUCAACCUCGGAAUUGCCUUUGAUACUGUUGGUCUUGAAUACGGUUGAAGUAGGCGGAAUGUAGCAUGUAGCGGUGAAAUGCAUAGAGAUGCUACAGAACACCGAUCGCGAAGGCAGCUUACUAAGCCGAUAUUGACGCUCAGGCACGAAAGCGUGGGGAGCGAACAGGAUUAGAUA
rnacentral:rRNA from 1 species